CUCAAAGAAGCAGGAUUUAAUCUGCAUAAAAGCUCCAGAAAUGACCAAAACACUGGAGUCAGAAGGAAGAAGUUACCUCCAGCAUGACUCCACUCUCCAGAUGUUUUGGAACACAGCUGCAGGGAUUUGCUCCCAUUCAGCCGCAGAAUCCUCAGUGUUGUUGGAUGAUGACGUCCGGCCCACAGUGUUGGAUGGUUGCGGUCAGCGCUUGGUUGAGUUUUUUCUAGGUGCAAGCUCUGAAUUGGAGGACCUUAAAUGGCAGAAACAGACGUCUUUAAUGCCAGACGUAACCAAAGGGCU